GUGGUGGUGGUGGUGUUACAGUGUGGGCAGGUGUGUCCAGUCAAUACAGAACAGCCCUACACUGUGAAUGGUGCAGUGACCCAGUGGCCCAAACUACUGAAUCACGUCAUUAAUCCAGUCACUGCGCCUCUGCAUGAACAACACAGGCCUCAUGGACGACGAAGCUCCAGCUCAUCGAGGGCGCAUCAUUAGGGAGCGGCUGCUGGAGACCGGGGUACCUCAGGCAACAGAAGCAUUUCGAGAAAUAUCUUUCUGUGAGGGAGCUUUUAGAGGUAGACGUCUGGUUCCUAUCGACACCACUGUGAAGAGUUCCUGACUCAUGAGUAGCUCCAUCGCCUCACGGCAAGAAGGGCCUGGGCUCGAUUCCCAGCUGGGUGACCAGUGUCCUUUCUGUGUGGAUCCACCAGUGCUGGACGAUGUGCCCAAACCAUAUUUCCCAUGACUAACUAUGAGUGACAUCACUGAAAAGUGGAAGCGUUUAGGAACGACAGCGACUCAGACACGAAGUGUCAGACCACGUAAAGUUACAGAGCGGGUCGGCGAGUUCUGAGGAGCAUAGAGCAUAAAAGUCACCAAUGCUCUGCUCAUCAAUAACGGAAGAGUUCAAACCUCCUCUGGCAUCAACAUCAGCACAGAAACUGCACCGGGAGCUUCAUGGCAGGGUUUCCAUGGUCGAGCAGCUGCAUGAAGCCUUACAUCACCAAGCACGAUGCCAAGCAUUGGCUGGAGUGGAGUAAGUCACCGCCACUGGACUCUGGAGCAGUGGAAACGUGUUCGGUGGAGUGACCAAUCAGCUUCUCUAUCGGUCAGUCUGAUGGACGAGUCUGGGUUUGCCAGGAGAACG